ACAAUCUGGCAGAUGAAAGAAAAACCAAGAAUAAGAAAGCUGAAAAACUGAGGGUAGCCUAGACUGGAGCUCAUGAGAUCUUCAUGUUAACAGCUAUGCAGAAGCACCCAAAAGGGGAAAGAGAAAAAGACAACAGAAAAAAACAAACAAACAACACCUUCUAAGUCUGGAAAGCUUUUUUAAACUGUGCA